GUGCUCACUUCAGCAGUACAUAGACUAAAAUUGGAACAAUACAAAGAAGGUUAGCAUGGCCUCUGCGCAAGGAUGACAUGCAAAUUUGUGAAGCGUUCCAUAUUUUA